rnacentral:rRNA from 1 species
AUAUCAAUAAGCGGAGGAAAAGAAACCAACAGGGAUUGCCCUAGUAACGGCGAGUGAAGCGGCAACAGCUCAAAUUUGAAAUCUGGCCUCGGCCCGAGUUGUAAUUUGCAGAGGAUGCUUCUGGCGCGGUGCCUUCCGAGUUCCCUGGAACGGGACGCCACAGAGGGUGAGAGCCCCGUAUGGUCGGACACCAAGCCUGUGUGAAGCUCCUUCGACGAGUCGAGUAGUUUGGGAAUGCUGCUCUAAAUGGGAGGUAAAUCUCUUCUAAAGCUAAAUACCGGCCAGAGACCGAUAGCGCACAAGUAGAGUGAUCGAAAGAUGAAAAGCACCUUGAAAAGGGGGUUAAAUAGUACGUGAAAUUGUUGAAAGGGAAGCACUUAUGACCAGACUUGGGCCGGGCGGCUCAUCAGGGGUUCUCCCCUGUGCACUCCGCCCGGCACAGGCCAGCAUCGGUUUUCGCGGGGGGAUAAGACCGUCGGGAACGUAGCACCCUCCGGGGUGUGUUAUAGCCCGGCGGACGAUACCCUCGCGGGGACCGAGGUUCGCGCUCCGCAAGGAUGCUGGCGUAAUGGUCAUCAGUGACCCGUCUUGAA